GAGUUUGAUCCUGGCUCAGGACGAACGCUGGCGGCGUGCCUAAUACAUGCAAGUCGAGCGAAUCAAUGGGAGCUUGCUCCCUGAGAUUAGCGGCGGACGGGUGAGUAACACGUGGGUAACCUGCCUGUAAGACUGGGAUAACUCCGGGAAACCGGGGCUAAUACCGGAUAAUAUCUAGAAUCGCAUGAUUCUAGAUUGAAAGAUGGUUUCGGCUAUCACUUACAGAUGGACCCGCGGCGCAUUAGCUAGUUGGUGAGGUAACGGCUCACCAAGGCAACGAUGCGUAGCCGACCUGAGAGGGUGAUCGGCCACACUGGGACUGAGACACGGCCCAGACUCCUACGGGAGGCAGCAGUAGGGAAUCUUCGGCAAUGGACGAAAGUCUGACCGAGCAACGCCGCGUGAGUGAAGAAGGUUUUCGGAUCGUAAAACUCUGUUGUUAAGGAAGAACAAGUACGAGAGUAACUGCUCGUACCUUGACGGUACUUAACCAGAAAGCCACGGCUAACUACGUGCCAGCAGCCGCGGUAAUACGUAGGUGGCAAGCGUUGUCCGGAAUUAUUGGGCGUAAAGCGCGCGCAGGCGGUUCCUUAAGUCUGAUGUGAAAGCCCACAGCUCAACCGUGGAGGGUCAUUGGAAACUGGGGAACUUGAGUGCAGAAGAGGAGAGUGGAAUUCCACGUGUAGCGGUGAAAUGCGUAGAGAUGUGGAGGAACACCAGUGGCGAAGGCGACUCUCUGGUCUGUAACUGACGCUGAGGCGCGAAAGCGUGGGGAGCGAACAGGAUUAGAUACCCUGGUAGUCCACGCCGUAAACGAUGAGUGCUAAGUGUUAGAGGGUUUCCGCCCUUUAGUGCUGCAGCAAACGCAUUAAGCACUCCGGCUGGGGAGUACGGUCGCAAGACU
rnacentral:rRNA from 1 species